AACGAACGCUGGCGGCAGGCCUAACACAUGCAAGUCGAGCGGACCCUUCGGGGUUAGCGGCGGACGGGUGAGUAACGCGUGGGAAUAUGCCCUUCUCUACGGAAUAGUCCUGGGAAACUGGGGGUAAUACCGUAUACGCCCUUUGGGGGAAAGAUUUAUCGGGGAAGGAUUAGCCCGCGUUGGAUUAGGUAGUUGGUGGGGUAAUGGCCUACCAAGCCGACGAUCCAUAGCUGGUUUGAGAGGAUGAUCAGCCACACUGGGACUGAGACACGGCCCAGACGCGAGGGGGAGGGAGGGGGGGGGACAAUGAGGCAGGGGGGGCGGCCUGGAGGGAGCCAGGGGGGGUGAGUGAGGAAGUCCUUAGGGAUGUAAAGCGCGUGAGGGCGGAAGAGAAGGACGGGACAAGCGGAAAAAGCCCCGGCGAAGCGCGGGGCAGCGGCGGCGGUAAUAGACAGAACAGCCAACUUACGAGC
rnacentral:rRNA from 1 species